rnacentral:rRNA from 1 species
AGGAUAAACGCUGGCGGCGUGCCUAAUACAUGCAAGUCGAGCGGCAGCGCGGUCUUCGGACUGGCGGCGAGCGGCGGACGGCUGAGUAACACGUAGGAACGUACCCCAAAGUGAGGCAUAAGCACCAGAAAUGGUGUCUAAUACCGCAUGUGCUCUAAGGAGUAAAGCUUCGGCGCUUUGGGAACGGCCUGCGCAUGAUUAGCUUGUUGGUGAGGUAAAAGCUCACCAAGGCGACGAUCAUUAGCUGGUCUGAGAGGAUGACCAGCCAGACUGGGACUGAGAACGGCCCAGACUCCUACGGGAGGCAGCAGUAGGGAAUUUUCCACAAUGGGCGAAAGCCUGAUGGAGCAACGCCGCGUGCAGGAUGAAUGCCUUCGGGUUGUAAACUGCUUUUAUAUGUGACGAAUAUGACGGUAGCAUAUGAAUAAGGAUCGGCUAACUCCGUGCCAGCAGCCGCGGU